rnacentral:miRNA from 1 species
UGAUGAGAUCCUGAUGAUGAUGAUGAUGAUGAUACUACGAGUAGAUCCAUUUGGAAUAUGUCCAUCUGAUCUGGUCGACCACUUUCAUCUGGUGGGCGAUGCCAGCUCUCACGUUCAGCAGGUCGUUCAGGUCCUCGUGG